rnacentral:rRNA from 1 species
CCUACGGGCGGCAGCAGUGAGGAAUAUUGGUCAAUGGCCGUAAGGCUGAACCAGCCAAGUAGCGUGAGGGAAGACUCCCCUAUGGGUUGUAAACCUCUUUUAUGCGGGGAUAAAGGGGUCCACGUGUGGAUGUUUGCAGGUACCGCAUGAAUCAGGACGGGACAAUUCCGUGCCAGCAGCCGCGGUAAUACGGAGGUGCCGGGCGUUAUCCGGUUUUAUUGGGGUAAAGGGGUGCGAAGUCGGAGGCCCAAGUCCGCGGGAAAAUCCGGGUGCGCAACCCCGCUCCGCCGUUGAAACUGUGUCCCUUGAGUGCGCGAAGGGUAGGCGGAAUGCGUGGUGUAGCGGUGAAAUGCGUAGAUAUCACGCAGAACUCCGAUCGCGAAGGCAGCCUACCGGCGCGCAACUGACGCUCAUGCACGAAAGCGUGGGUAUCGAACAGGAUUAGAUACCCUAGUAGUC